rnacentral:rRNA from 1 species
UACGUAGGGCGCAAGCGUUGUCCGGAAUUACUGGGCGUAAAGCGCACGUAGGCGGAUACUUAAGUCAGGGGUGAAAUCCCGGGGCUCAACCCCGGAACUGCCUUUGAUACUGGGUAUCUCGAGUCCGGAAGAGGUGAGUGGAAUUCCGAGUGUAGAGGUGAAAUUCGUAGAUAUUCGGAGGAACACCAGUGGCGAAGGCGGCUCACUGGUCCGGUACUGACGCUGAGGUGCGAAAGCGUGGGGAGCAAACAGG